rnacentral:rRNA from 1 species
CUACGGGGUGCACCAGUGGGGAAUUUUGCGCAAUGGGGGAAACCCUGACGCAGCAAUACCGCGUGAGUGAAGAAGGCCUUUGGGUCGUAAAGCUCUUUUCUUGGGGAAGAUAGUGACGGUACCCAAGGAAUAAGCACCGGCUAACUCCGUGCGAGCAGCCGCGGUAAUACGGAGGGUGCAAGCGUUGUUCGGAUUUACUGGGCGUAAAGGGCACGUAGGCGGCACAGCAAGUUAAGGGUGAAAUCCCGGGGCUCAACUCCGGAACUGCUCUUAAAACUGCUGAGCUAGAGAUAGUCAGAGGCGGGUGGAAUUCCAGGUGUAGAGGUGAAAUUCGUAGAUAUCUGGAGGAACACCGGUGGCGAAGGCGGCCCGCUGGGGCUAUUCUGACGCUAAGGUGCGAAAGCGUGGGGAGCAAACGGGAUUAGAUACCCGAGUAGUC